UACGUAGGGGGCGAGCGUUAUCCGGAAUCAUUGGGCGUAAAGGGCGCGUAGGCGGAUAUUUAAGUCAGGUGUGAAAACCCAGGGCUCAACCUUGGGAUUGCAUCUGAUACUGGGUAUCUUGAGGACAGGAGAGGAAAGUGGAAUUCCUAGUGUAGCGGUGAAAUGCGUAGAUAUUAGGAGGAACACCAGUGGCGAAGGCGACUUUCUGGACUGUAACUGACGCUGAGGCGCGAAAGCGUGGGGAGCAAAC
rnacentral:rRNA from 1 species